rnacentral:rRNA from 1 species
AACGAACGCUGGCGGCAGGCUUAACACAUGCAAGUCGAGCGCCCCGCAAGGGGAGCGGCAGACGGGUGAGUAACGCGUGGGAAUCUACCCAUCUCUACGGAUUAACGCGUGGAAACGUGUGCUAAUACCGUAUACGUCCUUCGGGAGAAAGAUUUAUCGGAGAUGGAUGAGCCCGCGUUGGAUUAGCUAGUUGGUGGGGUAAAGGCCUACCAAGGCGACGAUCCAUAGCUGGUCUGAGAGGAUGAUCAGCCACACUGGGACUGAGACACGGCCCAGACUCCUACGGGAGGCAGCAGUGGGGAAUAUUGGACAAUGGGCGCAAGCCUGAUCCAGCCAUGCCGCGUGAGUGAUGAAGGCCCUAGGGUUGUAAAGCUCUUUCGCCGGUGAAGAUAAUGACGGUAACCGGAGAAGAAGCCCCGGCUAACUUCGUGCCAGCCGCCGCCGUAAGAC